UAUAUUUGCAGGUAGAGAUACGCUGUAUACUCGUGUACCCGAAUUAACGUUUAAGCGAUAUGUAAUAUCGUCGAGCACGAGGGAUUGGCCGCCUAUUGGGCGGCCUUUCUUUUUUAGCGA
ncrna:unclassified sequences DTF3800-I RNA